rnacentral:rRNA from 1 species
UGGUGGAGUGAUUUGUCUACUUAAUUGUGAUAACGAACGAGACCUUAACCUGCUAAAUAGUCGGUCGAAUCAUCUGAUUCGUCAUAGACUUCUUAGAGGGACUUUGCGUGUCUAACGCAAGGAAGUGUGAGGCAAUAACA